rnacentral:rRNA from 1 species
UACGGAGGGGGCUAGCGUUGUUCGGAAUUACUGGGCGUAAAGCGCACGUAGGCGGCUUUGUAAGUUAGAGGUGAAAGCCCAGGGCUUAACCCUGGAAUUGCCUUUAAGACUGCAUCGCUAGAAUUGUGGAGAGGUAAGUGGAAUUCCGAGUGUAGAGGUGAAAUUCGUAGAUAUCAGGAGGAACACCGGUGGCGAAGGCGGCUUUCUGGACGACAACUGACGGCUGAGACGCGAAAGCGUGGGGGAGCAAACAGG